GACGAACGCUGGCGGCGCGCUUAACACAUGCAAGUCGAACGCUGAAGCUCAGCUUUUGUUGGGUGGAUGAGUGGCGAACGGGUGAGUAACACGUGAGUAACCUGCCUCCUUCUUUGGGAUAACGCCCGGAAACGGGUGCUAAUACUGGAUAUUCACUGGUCUUCGCAUGGGGGUUGGUGGAAAGGGUUUUUCUGGUGGGGGAUGGGCUCGCGGCCUAUCAGCUUGUUGGUGGGGUGAUGGCCUACCAAGGCUUUGACGGGUAGCCGGCCUGAGAGGGUGACCGGGCACAUUGGGACUGAGAUACGGCCCAGACUCCUGCGGGAGGCAGCAGUGGGGAAUAUUGCACAAUGGGCGCAAGCCUGAUGCAGCGACGCCGCGUGAGGGAUGGAGGCCUUCGGGUUGUGAACCUCUUUCGCUAAUGGUCAAGCCGCAACAAUGGUUGUGGUGAGGGUAGUGGGUAAAGAAGCGCCGGCUAACUACGUG
rnacentral:rRNA from 1 species